rnacentral:rRNA from 1 species
UACGUAGGGACCAAGCGUUGUUCGGAUUUACUGGGCGUAAAGGGCGCGUAGGCGGCAAUUCAAGUCAUCUGUGAAAUCUCCGGGCUUAACCCGGAACGGUCAGGUGAUACUGUUUUGCUAGAGUGCGGAAGGGGCAAUCGGAAUUCUCGGUGUAGCGGUGAAAUGCGUAGAGAUCAGCAGGAAUACCCGUGGCGAAGGCGGCCCCCUGGGCCGUACCUGACGCUGAGGCGCGAAGGCUAGGGGAGCGAACGGG